CCUACGGGAGGCAGCAGUAGGGAAUCUUUCACAAUGGGCGAAAGCCUGAUGGAGCAACGCCGCGUGGGUGAAGAAGGUCUUCGGAUUGUAAAACCCUGUUGUUAGAGAAGAAAGUGCGUGAGAGUAACUGUUCACGUUUCGACGGUAUUUAACCAGAAAGCCACGGCUAACUACGUGCGAGUAGCCGCGGUAAUACGGAGGUGGUAAGCGUUAUCCGGAUUUAUUGGGCGUAAAGAGAACGCAGGCGGUCUUUUAAGUCUGAUGUGAAAGUCGUCGGCUUAACCGGAGUAGUGCAUUGGAGACUGGGAGACUUGAGUGCAGAAGAGGAGAGUGGAACUCCAUGUGUAGCGGUGAAAUGCGUAGAUAUAUGGAAGAACACCAGUGGCGAAGGCGGCUCUCUGGUCUGUAACUGACGCUGAGGUUCGAAAGCGUGGGUAGCAAACAGGAUUAGAUACCCUUGUAGUC
rnacentral:rRNA from 1 species